rnacentral:rRNA from 1 species
UAGCUUUAAGGUUUUAUUUAAAGUUUUACCUGCCCGGUGAUAUUUUUAACGGCCGCAGUACUUUGACUGUGCUAAGGUAGCAUAAUAAAUUGGCUUUUAAUUAAAGUCGGGUAUGAAAGGGACUUCGGAAAGCAACUGUCUCAAAUAUAUAUUAUUUUAAAUUAUUUAAUGAGUGAAAAUCCUCAUAAACUUUUACAUUAGACGAGAAGACCCUUAGAGUUAUAAUUAAAAUGAAUUUUUUUUCAUAUCUCAUUUUUGUUGGGGCAACAAAGAUUGGACAUAACCGUCAUAAAGUUAUUUAACAUAACCAAUAUAUUUAAAAAGAAAUAAACUACCUUAGGGAUAACAGCAUAAUUAAUUUUUAGAUUGUGACCUCGAUGUUGGAUUAAGGACUUUUUUUACUAGCCGUAAAUAAAGAUGGUUCUGUUCGAACUAUAAUACCUU